CCCUAUGACUGUCUGACUCUGUUAACCCCAUGACUGUCUGACUCUGUUAACCCCAUGACUGUCUGACCCUGUUAACCCCAUGACUGUCUGACCCUGUUAACCCCAUGACUGUCUGACCCUGUUAACCCCAUGACUGUCUGACCCUGUUAACCCCAUGACUGUCUGACCCUGAUAACCCCAUGACUGUCUGACCCUGUUAACCCCAUGACUGUCUGACCCUGUUAACCCCAUGACUGUCUGACCAUGUUAACCCUAUGACUGUAUGACCCUGUUAAUCCUAUGACUGUCUGACCAUGACUGUCUGACCCUGUUAACCCUAUGACUGUCUGACCAUGACUGUCUGAACCUGUUAACCCUUUGGCUGCCUGGCCCUGUGAAUCCUUUGACUGUCUGACCAUGUUAACCCUGUUACUCUCUGACCAUGUUAACCCUACGACUGUCUGACCCUAUGACUGUCUGAUCCACUAUGACUGUCUGACCCUGUUAACCCCAUGAGUCUGACCCUGAUUACCCUAUGACUGUCUGACCAUAACUGUCUGACCAUGUUAACCCUACGACUGUCUGACCCUAUGACUGUCUGAUCCACUAUGACUGUCUGACCAUGUUACCCUAUGACUGUCUGACCAUGUUACCCUAUGACUGUCUGACCAUGUUAACCCUAUGACUGUCUGACCAUGUUAACCUAUGGCUGUCUGACCAUGUUACGCUAUGACUGUCUGACCAUGUUACGCUAUGACUGUGACCAUCUUAACCCUAUGACUGUCUGACCAUUACUGUCUGACCAUGUUAACCCUAUGACUGUCUGACCAUGUUACCAUAUGACUGUCUGACCAUGUUAACCCAAUGAAUGUCCGACCAUGUUAACCCUAUGACUGUCUGACUCUAUGACUGUCUGACCCUGUUAACCCCAUGAGUAUGACCCUGUUUACCCUAUGACUGUCUGACCAUUACUUCCUGGCCAUGUUAACCAUAUGACUGUCUGGCCAUGACUGUCUGACCCUGUUAACCCUAUGACUGCCUGACCCUGUUAACCCUAUGACUGUCUGACCAUGUUACCCUAUGACUGUCUGACCAUGUUAGCCUAUGACUGUCUGACCAUGUUACGCUAUGACUGUCUGACCAAGUAAACCCUUUGACUGUCUGACCAUUACUGUCCGACCAUGUUAACCCUAUGACUGUCUGGCCAUGACUGUCUGACCAUGUUAACCCCAUGACUGUCUUGCCAUGUUAACCCCAUGACUGUCUGACCAUGUUAACCCCAUGACUGUAUGACCCUGUUAACCCCAUGACUGCCUGACCCUGUUAACCCCAUGACUGUCUGACCCUGUUAACCCCAUGACUGUCUGACCCUGUUAACCCCAUGACUGUCUGACCCUGUUAACCCCAUGACUGUCUGACCCUGUUAACCCCAUGACUGUCUGACCCUGUUAACCCCAUGACUGUCUGACCCUGUUAACCCCAUGACUGUCUGUUAACCCCAUGACUGUUUGAGAGCCACUCAAACUAGCUGAUCUAUAACCACUCAAACGAGCUGAUCUAGAGCCACUCGAACUAGCUGAUCUAGAACCACUCAAGCUAGCUGAUAUAGAACCACUCAAACUAGCUGAUCUAGCUACUGUUUUAGCCUAUUUCUUUUUAAAUUACUUUUUGUUGAUUAUUUUGCUUAACAAGCACCUUGAGAUUCUGUCUGUAAAUGAAAAGAGCUAUAAAAGUUUAAUCAAUGAUUAUUAUUAUCCCUGGUUGACCCCAUGACCCCUGCAGUCUACCUUCCUAUCACUGUAUGACUCCUGGCUUAUGUCCCAAUUAUCACUCCUUUCUCCCAAAGUGUGCACUUGUUUACUUCCCUUCACUGAUCUGAAAGGGUUAGUAUGAUUGGUGUAAAAAGCAUGAUGGAAACUAGCCCAUACCUCCACCAAUCCAAUGCUUUUAGAUUUGUGGUAAGUAGUGUACAAGUGCACACUUCAGGAAAAAUAUGUUUAUUGGGACACACCACUUAUAUCCCCUAUCACUGAAUGAACCUCCAUCACUGUCUUACUCGGUUAAACUCCACUGUCAGUUCUCCUGCCUGAUCCAACGUGUUCAUAAUAAGAAAAGGAAAAGAGAGAAAGUCCCGCAGAGCUCAUUGUAUUAAUGUAUCCCUGUACAGUGUCUGGAUGAAUGUAUAUAUUGUAUGUAGUCGAAUGUAUAUAGUCAGGUCAUUGUCAGUUGUCAUGCUGGCUCAGUCUCACAGUACAGAUGUAGGAUCUUAAUUUGAGCCAGUUCUUGACCACAGGAAAAUAAUCCAGCAGCAACUGGAAAUGUGAAUUAUUAUGUGGAUUAAAAUGAAUGGACAUUUUUGUUGAUACAUUUCCGUUAAGGCAAAUCAAGUCUGACAUUUUAAAGUGGAAAUUACAAUCUUUAGAAGCCUUUUUAAACCUGGAAUACAUCACACAUUUGCUUUUCCUCUCAGCGACAAAGAGUGAUCAAAUUUAAGAUUCUACAUCAGUAAGUCAUAUGUUCAGGCCUUUUCAACCUACUUCAACUCACCAGCAUUCUAAUCUCCUACAGUGGUAUUCAUUUAUAACAAGCAUUUUGCUAAAGAUCACCCAUAACCGAAUGUAGUGAAAUGUAUAUUCAACGUUAAAGUCAAGACAUUGAUGGAAAAUGUUAGAAGUUAAAGUGUAGUGUACCUGUCAAUCAAAAUAAAGGCAGAUUUGAAUUCAGUGGCAAUUUCAAAAUCACUCUGAAGUCCAAUACAUCUAAAGUAAGUACAGUUUUAGAGAUAGAUUAUGGUUAAUGCAUACAUCAAUUUUUCUGGUGGAAAAAUACUAAUUACGAUGUACAAAAUGUUGAAUUGAUUUAAGUUGUCUUUUCCUGCCAGUAAAUGUUUAGUUGAGCCUUCCGUAGAUCUCUUGUAGUUGUGGUAAGUGUAGACCUAGCUUGAUAAUGAAGCCUUGAACCUAGAGAGAACUCAAAUGAGGCAAAUAAAAUAUUUUUUUUGUGGAUUUUGUCUAAAGUGUUGUACAGUAAUUUGGAACGAAAUAUACAAUAAUGAAGAAAGGGAAACCAAUAAUAUUUUGCAAUAUCUUUAUGACUAGGCUAUUGUUUCAUGUUGUUUGAAUCAUCAAUACUCUUUUGCUGCCUAUUUUUUGUAAUAUACUGUAUAUAUAUGGUGAAUGUAAUGUAUAUAAAGUGUUUGUCAUCUUUAAAUGUUUAAUCAGGGUCAUAUCUUUUGAAAAUCUUCAAGGAUGUUUGUAUUUACAUGACAUUUUUCUUUUCUUCCUUAACCACAAAUGAAGAUGUCAUUUGAUUCUCAUCUUUUAUCAGUUCUCGGUUAAUAAUCAGUAUUUCACAAAGAUCCUUUGUGUACUUUCAGUGUAUUACCAUCAACAUCCAUAGAAACAGAAUAUUAAAUGUACAGUAUUUACAUAACUUGAAAUGAGAUGUUCAGAGAAUGUAUUGUUAUACCUUCAUGAGAUGUUUUACUACUUUUCAGUGUGCAUUGACUUUCUUCUCAAAUUAAAGUUCAAUACAAUAAAGAUUACAACAAAAUACUAGUCAUUGUUGGGACUCUUGAUCUAAUCCAAUGUGUCUCAAUCUCUUUGUCACUUAAAAAGAACACAUUGGAAGUCAUGGGAGUUUCUCAAUUGGUAAAGUCUCUCCUCUUCUCGUCUCCUAAGUACUUUUCUCUUUCGUGACCCAUAAAAUGAAAAGUGGUCGCCAUAUGUAGACGAGUGUCAAUUUGUUAAUAGGUGAACAGAGUAGUGUCCUCCUCAAUAGCCUUCUCCCAGCGAGGAAGCACAAAUGUACCUGCUCGGCUCCAUAUCGUAGAAGCGUUUUGAAAUCCGCCACAAAAUCAGUUGUUUUCUUCUCGGAAGAGAAACGCAUGCUCAUGUUUAAAAACUAUAUGCUAUACAAAUAUACAAGCACAUUUGUGUCCACGUUUUCAACCAGGAGAGGGCAGCGAAGAGGACGCGAGGAGUCGAGCAAAUUGAAUUGAGAUUCUCGCCAUGUAAAAAUCUGAAUAAGAGUGUGUUCAAAGUUUUGACUUUGUCUCCCCCUGCUGGUAAAGAUAAGUUACAAUACAUGGAAAGAACCUGUAGGCAGGACACCAAAAUGACAUAUGAGAAUACUUUAGAAAUUCAUCCUUCCAUGUUUUCUUUUAGAUGAGCAAUUUCUGAAGUAUUUGAAGUAACAACUGACAUAUUAGUCUUUUUUUCAUUGGAGAAACCUUUUCAAGUAAUUCACAAUUCUCCCUUUCAAAUUUAGUCAUUUACAGCUAUAGAAUAUUAAAAAAUGGUUCCUGUACCUGCAGUGCUUGUUAUAAUGUUAAGCUUCACAACACAAAGCGAUAAAUAAAUUAAUAUACAUCUUCAGCAAUACAAAGAAAUUAACAAGGGAAUACAUCCACAGAAUCAAUGUCUGUCUCUCUAGUAGUUUCCAAAACAGCUGUUAUUAUUCACUAGAGACACAAAAUGGCCCUGUCACAUUCAGUCAGUUCCCACUGGCCUUGAAAUGUAUUAUUCACUAGAGACACAAAAUGGCCCUGUCACAUUCAGUCAGUUCCCACUGGCCUUGAAAUGUAUUAUUCACUAGAGACACAAAAUGGUCCGAUCACAUUCAGUCAGUUCCCACUGGCCUUGAAAUGUAUUAUUCACUAGAGACACAAAAUGGCCCGAUCACAUUCAGUCAGUUCCCACUGGCCUUGAAAUGUAUUAUUCACUAGAGACACAAAAUGGCCCGAUCACAUUCAGUCAGUUCCCACUGGCCUUGAAAUGUAUUAUUCACUAGAGACACAAAAUGGCCCGAUCACAUUCAGUCAGUUCCCACUGGCCUUGAAAUGUAUUAUUCACUAGAGACACAAAAUGGCCCGUCACAUUCAGUCAGUUCCCACUGGCCUUGAAAUGUAUUAUUCACUAGAGACACAAAAUGGCCCGGUCACAUUCAGUCAGUUCCCACUGGCCUUGAAAUGUAUUAUUCACUAGAGACACAAAAUGGCCCGGUCACAUUCAGUCAGU
ensembl:lncRNA